GACGAACGCUGGCGGCGUGCCUAAUACAUGCAAGUCGAACGCAGUGGGGACGGGUGAGUAACACGUGGGUAACCUCCCAUCAGAGGGGAUAACACUUGGAAACAGGUGCUAAACCGAUACUGAUGGAUGGACCCGCGGUGCAUUAGCUAGUUGGUGAGGUAACGGCUCACCAAGGCCACGAUGCAUAGCCGUCCUCGGAGGGUGAUCGGCCACACUGGAACUUGGACACGGCCCAGACUCCUACGGUAGACAGCAGUAGGGAAUCUUCGGCAAUGGACGAAAGUCUGACUGAGCAACGCCGCGUGAUUGCAUAAGGUUUUCGGAUCGUAAAACUCUGUUGUUAGAGAAGCUGUACCUACCCAGAAAGCCACGGCUAACUACGUGCCAGCAGCCGCGGUAAUAC
rnacentral:rRNA from 1 species